rnacentral:sRNA from 12 species
GGCCUAAACCGAUAAGCAAUUAUUGGCAUGGUCGCCAAAUCCACGAAAAGAAACAGCUCGUCAUGAGUACUUCUUUUCGUGGUUGCUACUGGAAACGGUGGUAGGGGCGUAAGCCUC